rnacentral:rRNA from 1 species
GUGGCGCACGGGUGCGUAACGCGUAUGCAACCUACCUUAAUCAGGGGGAUAGCCCGAAGAAAUUCGGAUUAACACCGCAUAAAAUCACAGUACAGCAUUGUACAAUGAUCAAAUAUUUAUAGGAUUAAGAUGGGCAUGCGUGUCAUUAGUUAGUUGGCGAGGUAACGGCUCACCAAGACCACGAUGACUAGGGGAUCUGAGAGGAUGACCCCCCACACUGGUACUGAGACACGGACCAGACUCCUACGGGAGGCAGCAGUAAGGAAUAUUGGUCAAUGGAGGCAACUCUGAACCAGCCAUGCCGCGUGCAGGAAGACAGCCCUCUGGGUCGUAAACUGCUUUUAUUCGGGAAUAAACCUACUUACGUGUAAGUAGCUGAAUGUACCGAAGGAAUAAGGAUCGGCUAACUCCGUGCCAGCAGCCGCGGUAAUACGGAGGAUCCAAGCGUUAUCCGGAUUUAUUGGGUUUAAAGGGUGCGUAGGCGGCUUAUUAAGUCAGGGGUGAAAGACGGUGGCUCAACCAUCGCAGUGCCCUUGAUACUGAUGAGCUUGAAUACACUAGAGGUAGGCGGAAUGUGACAAGUAGCGGUGAAAUGCAUAGAUAUGUCACAGAACACCGAUUGCGAAGGCAGCUUACUAUGGUGUCAUUGACGCUGAGGCACGAAAGCGUGGGGAUCAAACAGGAUUAGAUACCCUGGUAGUCCACGCCCUAAACGAUGAAUACUCGCUGUUAGCGAUACACAGUUAGCGGCUAAGCGAAAGCGUUAAGUAUUCCACCUGGGGAGUACGCCCGCAAGGGUGAAACUCAAAGGAAUUGACGGGGGCCCGCACAAGCGGAGGAGCAUGUGGUUUAAUUCGAUGAUACGCGAGGAACCUUACCCGGGCUUGAAAGUUAGUGAAUGAGAUAGAGAUAUUUCAGUGAGCAAUCACACGAAACUAGGUGCUGCAUGGCUGUCGUCAGCUCGUGCCGUGAGGUGUUGGGUUAAGUCCCGCAACGAGCGCAACCCCUAUGUUUAGUUGCCAGCACGUUAAGGUGGGGACUCUAAACAGACUGCCUGUGCAAACAGAGAGGAAGGAGGGGACGACGUCAAGUCAUCAUGGCCCUUACGUCCGGGGCUACACACGUGCUACAAUGGAUGGUACAGAGGGCAGCAAGCUGGCAACAGCAAGCAAAUCUCAAAAAGCCAUUCACAGUUCGGAUAGAGGUCUGCAACUCGACCUCUUGAAGUUGGAUUCGCUAGUAAUCGCGUAUCAGCAAUGACGCGGUGAAUACGUUCCCGGGCCUUGUACACACCGCCCGUCAAGCC